GAAAUGCGAUAAGUAAUGUGAAUUGCAGAAUUCCGUGAAUCAUCGAAUUUUUGAACGCACAUUGCGCCCUCUGGUAUUCCGGGGGCAUGCCUGUCCGAGCGUCAUUGCGAACCCCUCAAGCACGGCUUGUGUGAUGGGCCCUCCCGCGUCUUGGUCGUCAAGACGGGCCCGAAAUGCAGUGGCGGCUUCGCGGUUAUCCGAUCAGCCAGAGCGUAUGGGGACUCUCUCUCUUGUCACACGCCCGCGGCGCGGACCGACGCCUGUCGACCUUUAUUCAUCUUCUCUCGGUUGACCUCGGAUCAGGUAGGGAUACCCGCUGAACUUAAGC
rnacentral:misc_RNA from 1 species